rnacentral:rRNA from 1 species
UACGUAGGGUGCAAGCGUUUAUCCGGAAUUAUUGGGCGUAAAGAGCUCGUAGGCGGUUUGUCGCGUCUGCUGUGAAAACCCGAGGCUCAACCUCGGGCCUGCAGUGGGUACGGGCAGACUAGAGUGAUGUAGGGGAGACUGGAAUUCCUGGUGUAGCGGUGAAAUGCGCAGAUAUCAGGAGGAACAGCCGAUGGCGAAGGCAGGUCUCUGGGCAUUAACUGACGCUGAGGAGCGAAAGCAUGGGGAGCGAACAGG